AUUGAACGCUGGCGGCAUGCUUUACACAUGCAAGUCGAACGGUAACAGGCCUUCGGGUGCUGACGAGUGGCGCACGGGUGAGUAAUGCAUCGGAACGUACCCAGAGGUGGGGGAUAACGCAGCGAAAGCUGUGCUAAUACCGCAUGUGAUCUGAGGAUGAAAGCGGGGGACCGAGCAGCAAUGUUUGGCCUCGCGCCUUUGGAGCGGCCGAUGUCGGAUUAGCUAGUUGGUGGGGUAAAGGCCUACCAAGGCGACGAUCCGUAGCUGGUCUGAGAGGACGACCAGCCACACUGGGACUGAGACACGGCCCAGACUCCUACGGGAGGCAGCAGUGGGGAAUUUUGGACAAUGGGCGCAAGCCUGAUCCAGCAAUGCCGCGUGCGGGAAGAAGGCCUUCGGGUUGUAAACCGCUUUUGGCAGGAACGAAACGGUGUCCGCUAAUACCGGGCGCUAAUGACGGUACCUGCGGAAUAAGCACCGGCUAACUACGUG
rnacentral:rRNA from 1 species